rnacentral:rRNA from 1 species
AACGAACGCUGGCGGCAUGCCUAACACAUGCAAGUCGAACGAGACCUUCGGGUCUAGUGGCGCACGGGUGCGUAACGCGUGGGAACCUGCCCUUAGGUUCGGAAUAACUCCCCGAAAGGGGUGCUAAUACCGGAUAAUGUCUUCGGACCAAAGAUUUAUCGCCUUUGGAUGGGCCCGCGUUGGAUUAGCUAGUUGGUAGGGUAAAAGCCUACCAAGGCGACGAUCCAUAGCUGGUCUGAGAGGAUUAUCAGCCACACUGGGACUGAGACACGGCCCAGACUCCUACGGGAGGCAGCAGUGGGGAAUAUUGGACAAUGGGCGAAGGCCUGAUCCAGCAAUGCCGCGUGAGUGAUGAAGGCCUUAGGGUUGUAAAGCUCUUUUACCCGGGAUGAUAAUGACAGUACCGGGAGAAUAAGCUCCGGCUAACUCCGUG